rnacentral:rRNA from 1 species
AGGAUGAACGCUGGCGGUCUGCUUAACACAUGCAAGUCGAACGGAGUAGCAAUACUUAGUGGCGGACGGGUGAGUAACGCGUGAGAAUCUACCUUCAGGACGGAGACAACAGUUGGAAACGACUGCUAACCCCCGAUGUACUGAAAAGGCAAAUAUUUAUAGCCUGAAGAAGAGCUCGCGUCCGAUUAGCUAGUUGGAGAGGUAAAAGCUCACCAAGGCGACGAUCGGUAGCUGGUCUGAGAGGACGAUCAGCCACACUGGGACUGAGACACGGCCCAGACUCCUACGGGAGGCAGCAGUGGGGAAUUUUCCGCAAUGGGCGAAAGCCUGACGGAGCAAGACCGCGUGGGGGAAGAAGGCUCGUUGGGUUGUAAACCCUUUUCUCUGGGAAGAACACAAUGACGGUACCAGAGGAAUCAGCAUCGGCUAACUCCGUGCCAGCAGCCGC